rnacentral:rRNA from 1 species
UACGUAGGCAGCGAGCGUUGUUCGGAGUUACUGGGCGUAAAGGGUGUGUAGGCGGUUGUUUAAGUUUGGUGUGAAAUCUCCCGGCUCAACUGGGAGGGUGCGCCGAAUACUGAAUGACUCGAGUGUGGGAGAGGUGAGUGGAAUUCCUGGUGUAGCGGUGAAAUGCGUAGAUAUCGUGAGGAACACCAGAGGCGAAGGCGGCUUCCUGGACAAUUGCUGACGCUCAGGCACGAAAGCGUGGGGAGCAAAAGGG